rnacentral:rRNA from 1 species
GAUGAACGCUGGCGGCGUGCUUAACACAUGCAAGUCGAACGAUGAACCAGGUGCUUGCAUCUGGGGAUUAGUGGCGAACGGGUGAGUAACACGUGAGCAACCUGCCCCUGACUCUGGAAUAAGCGCUGGAAACGGCGUCUAAUACUGGAUAUGUCCCGUCAUCGUAGGGGUGGUGUGGAAAGCUUUAUGCGGUGUGGGAUGAGCCUGCGGCCUAUCAGCUUGUUGGUGGGGUAAUGGCCUACCAAGGCGUCGACGGGUAGCCGGCCUGAGAGGGUGUACGGCCACAUUGGGACUGAGACACGGCCCAGACUCCUACGGGAGGCAGCAGUGGGGAAUAUUGCACAAUGGGCGCAAGCCUGAUGCAGCGACGCCGCGUGGGGGAUGACGGCCUUCGGGUUGUAAACUCCUUUCGCUAGGGACGAUGCCUUUUAGGUGACGGUACCUGGAGAAGAAGCACCGGCUAACUACGUGCCAGCAGCCGCGGUAACAC